CCUACGGGAGGCAGCAGUGAGGAAUUUUCUGCAAUGGGCGAAAGCCUGACAGAGCAAUACCGCGUGAGGGAUGAAGACUUACUGAGUUGUAAACCUCGGUACCUUAAGGAAGAAGAUAUGACGGUAC
rnacentral:rRNA from 1 species